rnacentral:rRNA from 1 species
AGUGAACGCUGGCGGUAGGCCUAACACAUGCAAGUCGAACGGCAGCACAGUAAGAGCUUGCUCUUACGGGUGGCGAGUGGCGGACGGGUGAGGAAUACAUCGGAAUCUACUUUUUCGUGGGGGAUAACGUAGGGAAACUUACGCUAAUACCGCAUACGACCUACGGGUGAAAGCAGGGGAUCUUCGGACCUUGCGCGAUUGAAUGAGCCGAUGUCGGAUUAGCUAGUUGGCGGGGUAAAGGCCCACCAAGGCGACGAUCCGUAGCUGGUCUGAGAGGAUGAUCAGCCACACUGGAGGUGAGACGCGGUCCAGACUCCUACGGGAGGCAGCAGUGGGGAAUAUUGGACAAUGGGCGCAAGCCUGAUCCAGCGAUACCGCGUGGGUGAAGAAGGCCUUCGGGUUGUAAAGCCCUUUUGUUGGGAAAGAAAAGCAGCAGGUUAAUACCCCGCUGUUCUGACGGUACCCAAAAAAUAAGCACCGGCUAACUUCGUG